rnacentral:rRNA from 1 species
GACGAACGCUGGCGGCGUGCCUAAUACAUGCAAGUCGAACGCAUUUUCUUUCACCGUAGCUUGCUACACCGAAAGAAAAUGAGUGGCGAACGGGUGAGUAACACGUGGGUAACCUGCCCAUCAGCGGGGGAUAACACUUGGAAACAGGUGCUAAUACCGCAUAAUUCCAUUUACCGCAUGGUAGAUGGGUGAAAGGCGCUUUUGCGUCACUGAUGGAUGGACCUGCGGUGCAUUAGCUAGUUGGUGGGGUAACGGCCUACCAAGGCUGCGAUGCAUAGCCGACCUGAGAGGGUGAUCGGCCACACUGGGACUGAGACACGGCCCAGACUCCUACGGGAGGCAGCAGUAGGGAAUCUUCGGCAAUGGACGCAAGUCUGACCGAGCAACGCCGCGUGAGUGAAGAAGGGUUUCGGAUCGUAAAACUCUGUUGUUAGAGAAGAACAAGGAUGAGAGUGGAAAGUUCAUCCCUUGACGGUAUCUAACCAGAAAGCCACGGCUAACUACGUG